rnacentral:rRNA from 1 species
UACGUAGGGGGCAAGCGUUGUCCGGAAUUAUUGGGCGUAAAGCGCGCGCAGGUGGUUUCUUAAGUCUGAUGUGAAAGCCCACGGCUCAACCGUGGAAGGUCAUUGGAAACUGGGGAACUUGAGUGCAGAAGAGGAAAGUGGAAUUCCAAGUGUAGCGGUGAAAUGCGUAGAGAUUUGGAGGAACACCAGUGGCGAAGGCGCUGGGCUGGGCGGUUAUUGACGCUGAGGUGCGAAAGCGUGGGGAGCAAACAGG